CUUUCUUUUUGAGUCCUGAGCUCUAAAGAGGCCAGUUGCCACCUCCAGCAGCCUGACAGGCAGCCCUGUUGACAUUUCAGCUACAGACUCUGUUUGCAGCCAGAGUUCAAGGGUCUUCAGGAAGCCUCGGGGACCUUCCCUCUGCAGAUGCAGCCACAUAGCUGGACCUAUGAGACAUGAAACUCGGAACUCCACUGGGGACCCCCAAUGAAGAGAUCAGCCAACAUGCAGACCUCAGGUAAGUGGGAAGUGAAGAUGAACUUUAACCGUCAUCUUUUGUUGUAAGUUUCUUCCUGGGGGUCUUGGAGAAAGUCACUCACCCUAGCCAGUUGGCAUUCUUCUACUGGUUGGUAAGGUAACUAUGCCUGUAAUGCUAGCACUUUGGGAGGCCAAGGUGAGAGGAUUGCUUGAGGCCAGGAGCUUGAGAUGAGCUGAGAAACAUAGUGACAUUCCAUCUCACUAUGUGGUUUUUUUUUUUUUUUGAAAAAUUAAAAAAUUAGGCACUGGGGUGCACACCUGUGGUCUCAGCUGCUCAAGAGGCUGAGGCAGGAGGCUGCAGUGAGCUAUGAU
rnacentral:lncRNA from 13 species